rnacentral:lncRNA from 1 species
GACAAGAUCUGGACCAUUGAAGUGAAAACACGGUGGAAAGAGGGACCAAAAUGACCUUCCCCAAGCAAGGAAGGAGACCAAACCUCUAAAAACAUUCCAGCUGACAUCGUCUUUGUUUUAAAGGACAAGCCACAUAGUAUUUUUAAGAGAAAUGGCUCUGAUGUCAUCUAUCCUGCCAGGAUCAGCAUUUGGAAGGCUCUGUGUGGCUGCACAGUGAACAUCCCACUCUGGACGGAAAGACCAUACCCAUCGUUUUCAAGGAAGUCAUCAGGCCUGGCAUGCAGUGAAAAGCCCCUGGAGAAGACUUCCCUCUCCCUAAAGUGCCCAAGAAAUGUGGGGACUUCAUUAUUGAGUUUGAAGUGAUCUUCCCCUAAUGGAUUCCCCAGAUGUCAAGAACUGUACUUGAGCAGGUUCUUCCAAUAUAG